GGAUGAUUGUAGGCAAAGGUAGAAGGUGAUCCUACAGACAGGAGGAAAUCCCUCCCUCCUCUCUACAAAAGCAUGGAAACACACUUUUAAGAGCACAAGGCCAGCUCAUACAUGGAGGGAAGCAUUAUAUUAGCAUAACAAAGAAGGAUGCAAUUAUCUCCUACUACCUGGUUUGAAGGACCUGUUAGAAAAGACCUGAUCAUCAUUUAUGGUAACAAAGACCUAUUAGGGUUCACUAUGUCACCUGACGCUGUAGAGGCAGUUGUCAGUACAAGGAAGAGAGAAACUUCUGCUCCAGAAUCUCUUCUAACAUCCAUGUGCCAAUCGCUGAUAUAGAAGUCAGCAUGAGGAUUCAUCUUAAAUCCACAUCUCAACCCAGUGAUGCCAGUUCUGAAGACCCAAAUCACCGAUACAGGACAGAGGAGGACUGAAUUGAACCACUAUACAUUUGCUGCUUGGUUUAUUUUGCAAGCUUCAGUAUCAUAAGCUGAUGGUGGGUCUUUUCUACUCACAUAGCUAAAGCAAAAUAUGAAACAGAGGAAAUGCAUGGAAAUAAAAAGCAGGCAAAAGAAUUUGCCUUGGGUUGUUGUUGUUGUUGGUUUGGGGUUUUUUUAAAGAGGAGAUAUAGAGAGGAACUCAAUCAAAACAACAACAAAAAAUAUAGAAUCUGUUUAAAGACUGACCUUAAUGACAUUAGUGAUUCCUCGAGCACAAGUCUGCUUUGCUUUGUACAUCCUUUUACAAAAAGGGUGACCUCAACUCACUCAGAUUUUUUCCUUUUGUUCUUUUUUUUUUCCUUUUCAGAAACAAUCUCUCCAAUCUCUAACAAUCUCCUCCCUUUUUUAUCCUAACAAUUCUGAAAUGUUUACUUCCACACCAUUAUCUUUUAUGGAACUUAGCAGCACGGUCAUUUGUUAUUUUUAGAGCUUUUCAAACAGCAGAAGGUUUCAUUGCAGCUUUGCAUAUCUUUGCUGCCUGCUAAUGUUACUUUUCUUUCAUUAAAUCACUUAGCUCAG